rnacentral:rRNA from 1 species
UACGUAGGGUGCAAGCGUUAAUCGGAAUUACUGGGCGUAAAGCGUGCGCAGGCGGUUAUGUAAGACAGGUGUGAAAUCCCCGGGCUUAACCUGGGAACUGCAUUUGUGACUGCAUAGCUAGAGUACGGUAGAGGGGGAUGGAAUUCCGCGUGUAGCAGUGAAAUGCGUAGAUAUGCGGAGGAACACCGAUGGCGAAGGCAAUCCCCUGGGCCUGUACUGACGCUCAUGCACGAAAGCGUGGGGAGCAAACAGG